rnacentral:rRNA from 1 species
UACGUAGGGGGCGAGCGUUGUCCGGAAUCAUUGGGCGUAAAGCGCGUGUAGGCGGCCCGGUAAGUCCGCUGUGAAAGUCCAGGGCUCAACCCUGGGAUGCCGGUGGAUACUGUCGGGCUCGAGUCCGGAAGAGGCGAGUGGAAUUCCCGGUGUAGCGGUGAAAUGCGCAGAUAUCAGGAGGAACACCAAUGGCGAAGGCAGCUCGCUGGGACGGUACUGACGCUGAGGCGCGAAAGCGUGGGGAGCAAACAGG